GACGUAGGGCGCAAGCGUUGUUCGGAAUUACUGGGCGUAAAGGGCUCGUAGGUGGCCAACUAAGUCAUACGUGAAAUCCCUCGGCUUAACCGGGGAACUGCGUCUGAUACUGGAUGGCUUGAGGUUGGGAGAGGGAUGCGGAAUUCCAGGUGUAGCGGUGAAAUGCGUAGAUAUCUGGAGGAACACCGGUGGCGAAGGCGGCAUCCUGGACCAAUUCUGACACUGAGGAGCGAAAGCCAGGGGAGCAAACGGG
rnacentral:rRNA from 1 species